GACGAACGCUGGCGGCGUGCUUAACACAUGCAAGUCGAACGGAAAGGCCCUGCUUUUGUGGGGUGCUCGAGUGGCGAACGGGUGAGUAACACGUGAGUAACCUGCCCUUGACUUUGGGAUAACUUCAGGAAACUGGGGCUAAUACCGGAUAGGAGCUCCUGCUGCAUGGUGGGGGUUGGAAAGUUUCGGCGGUUGGGGAUGGACUCGCGGCUUAUCAGCUUGUUGGUGGGGUAGUGGCUUACCAAGGCUUUGACGGGUAGCCGGCCGGAGAGGGUGACCGGCCACAUUGGACCGGAGUAAGGGCCCGACCUCACUCGGACGGCAGGGGGGGGGAGUUUUGCCCAGUGGGCGGAGGCCUACGCCAGCAAGCCCGGGUGCGGGAGGCCGGCCUUCGGUUGGUAAGCCGCUUUCGCUUGUAUGGAAGCGUAAUGACGGUAAUUGGGUAAGAAGCACCGGCUAACUACGUG
rnacentral:rRNA from 1 species